GAUGAACGCUGGCGGCGUGCCUAAUACAUGCAAGUCGAGCGAACAGACGAGGAGCUUGCUCCUCUGACGUUAGCGGCGGACGGGUGAGUAACACGUGGAUAACCUACCUAUAAGACUGGGAUAACUUCGGGAAACCGGAGCUAAUACCGGAUAAUAUAUUGAACCGCAUGGUUCAAUAGUGAAAGACGGUUUUGCUGUCACUUAUAGAUGGAUCCGCGCCGCAUUAGCUAGUUGGUAAGGUAACGGCUCACCAAGGCAACGAUGCGUAGCCGACCUGAGAGGGUGAUCGGCCACACUGGAACUGAGACACGGUCCAGACUCCUACGGGAGGCAGCAGUAGGGAAUCUUCCGCAAUGGGCGAAAGCCUGACGGAGCAACGCCGCGUGAGUGAUGAAGGUCUUCGGAUCGUAAAACUCUGUUAUUAGGGAAGAACAAAUGUGUAAGUAAAUAUGCACGUCUUGACGGUACCUAAUCAGAAAGCCACGGCUAACUACGUG
rnacentral:rRNA from 1 species